AGAGUUUGAUCCUGGCUCAGGAUGAACGCUAGCGACAGGCUUAACACAUGCAAGUCGAGGGGCAGCACAGGUAGCAAUACCGGGUGGCGACCGGCGCACGGGUGAGUAACGCGUAUGCAACUUACCUAUCAGAGGGGGAUAACCCGGCGAAAGUCGGACUAAUACCGCAUGAAGCAGGGGCCCCGCAUGGGGAUAUUUGCUAAAGAUUCAUCGCUGAUAGAUAGGCAUGCGUUCCAUUAGGCAGUUUGCGGGGUAACGGCCCACCAAACCGACGAUGGAUAGGGGUUCUGAGAGGAAGGUCCCCCACAUUGGUACUGAGACACGGACCAAACUCCUACGGGAGGCAGCAGUGAGGAAUAUUGGUCAAUGGCCGAGAGGCUGAACCAGCCAAGUCGCGUGAGGGAUGAAGGUUCUAUGGAUCGUAAACCUCUUUUAUAAGGGAAUAAAGUGCGGGACGUGUCCCGUUUUGUAUGUACCUUAUGAAUAAGGAUCGGCUAACUCCGUGCCAGCAGCCGCGGUAAUACGGAGGAUCCGAGCGUUAUCCGGAUUUAUUGGGUUUAAAGGGUGCGUAGGCGGCCUUUUAAGUCAGCGGUGAAAGUCUGUGGCUCAACCAUAGAAUUGCCGUUGAAACUGGGGGGCUUGAGUAUGUUUGAGGCAGGCGGAAUGCGUGGUGUAGCGGUGAAAUGCAUAGAUAUCACGCAGAACCCCGAUUGCGAAGGCAGCCUGCCAAGCCAUUACUGACGCUGAUGCACGAAAGCGUGGGGAUCAAACAGGAUUAGAUACCCUGGUAGUCCACGCAGUAAACGAUG
rnacentral:rRNA from 1 species